GGAUGGGGGAGGGAGGAGGGAGGCUGGAGGGGGCAGUGGUUGGAGGCCUUAAUGAGAUUGGAGCUGGGCUCGGGGCUGAGGAGAGAGGCACAGAGAGGGAGACCCAGAAAGACGGACUGACACGCACGGUGUGGAGGCAGACAAGGAGACAGAAGAAAAUCCACGAGGCCUCCCGGCCACGCCACGGCUCCUGCUCGGGCUCCCCCCCGCCCACUUGCUCCUGCGACCCAGGACCCAGGACGAGGGCUGGUCUCUCACCGAGGAUGACACCCCCACCCGGGCGGGGGCCACUCCAGGGAAAGGGUCAGGCAGCGCGGCACUGCGAGGGUUAACGCCGGCUGCUCGCCCUGCCAGCCGCCUGCCUGGUCGGGUCCCCAGGGCUCCCCGCAUAUGUCACCCCCUCUCCUGCCAAGCCCACUGCUUCCCAGCUCCUCCAGGCCCUCCCCCACCCUCAAGGACUAGGCCCCGGCCCCGUGUCUUCCCUACACUCCAACCUCCCAUCCGGCAGUCUACUUCCAAGCUACCUCCAAGGCCAGGCCGUGUAGACCUGAAAAGCGGGAGGGCGACCACCCGAGAAAGUGAACGCCUAUAAAAUGCAAAAUAAAGACAAACCAAACCGUA